GACGAACCGUGCAAACGUUGUUCUGAAUCACUGGGCUUAAAGGGCGCGUAGGCGGAUCGCCAAGUCCGGGGUGAAAUCUUUCGGCUCAACCGGAAAACUGCCUUGGAUACUGGCGAUCUCGAGGGAGGUAGGGGCCUGUGGAACUUCCGGUGGAGCGGUGAAAUGCGUUGAUAUCGGAAGGAACGCCGGUGGCGAAAGCGACGGGCUGGACCUCUUCUGACGCUGAGGCGCGAAAGCUAGGGGAGCAAACGGG
rnacentral:rRNA from 1 species